GUGCACCAGGCGAGAAACUUCACACUGUGCGAAAGCACGAUGAGGGAAUCCCAAGUGCUUGCACGUAAGUGUAAGCUGUUUCUCUGUCUAAAACGCAGAGAGAGUAAGGGCUGGGUAAGACGGGUGCCAGCCGCCGCGGUAAUACCUGCAGCUCAAGUGGUGACCGUUAUUAUUGGGCCUAAAACGUCCGUAGCCGGUUUAAUAAAUGCCUGGGUAAAUUGUGUAGCUUAACUAUACGAAUUCCGGGUAGACUGUUAAACUUGAGACCGGGAGAAGUUAGAGGUACUCCUGGGGUAGAGGCGAAAUUCUGUAAUCCUAGGGGGACCACCAGUGGCGAAGGCGUCUAACUAGAACGGGUCUGACGGUGAGGGACGAAGCCCUGGGGCG
rnacentral:rRNA from 1 species